rnacentral:rRNA from 1 species
AUUGAACGCUGGCGGCAGGCCUAACACAUGCAAGUCGAACGAGUGGCGGACGGGUGAGUAAUGUCUGGGAAACUGCCUGAUGGAGGGGGAUAACUACUGGAAACGGUAGAUAAUACCGCAUACCAUCGGAUGUGCCCAGAUGGGAUUAGCUUGUUGGGGGGGUAACGGCUCACCAAGUCGACGAUCCCUAGCUGGUCUGAGAGUAUGACAAGCCACACUGGAACUGAUACACGGUCCAGAGUCCUACGGGAGGCAGCAGGGGGGAAUAUUGGAGAAUGGAGGAAAGCCUGAUGCAGCAAUGCCGCGUGUAUGAAGAAGGCCUUCGGUUUGUAAAGCACUUUCAGCGGGGAGGCGUUACCCGCAGAAGAAGCACCGGCUAACUCCGUGCCAGCAGCCGCGGUAAUAC